rnacentral:tRNA from 1 species
UCCCUGGUGGCUCACAUGGUAAAGUAUCUGACUGCAAUGCAGGAGACCUAGGUUCGAUCCCUGGGUUGGGAA